rnacentral:lncRNA from 1 species
CUGCUGCAUACUUCAAACAAUAGGAAAUGUCACUUUUUUUUUUCAUAAUGCAGAACACCAUCUGGAUUGGCAUGAAAUGCAUCUGGAAAAUUGCAUGGAGCUGGACAUAAUUCCCUAUGAGAAAAGAAUGCAUCUGAGCGCCUGGUGAGCACCAGUGCCAGCCUGGGAUCAGACUUUCUAUGCCUGUGAAAGUGUAUGAAAAGGAUGCAUAUUACUGUUUGAGUGAGAACUUUGUGGACUACUGCAGUCUUCAUUGUGUUUGUUGUGAGCGUUCAAGAUGCAUCUCAAAUAGAACUUUGGUUUAUACUUAUUUCAGUGUCAUGUUGUUUAUUCUCAUUAAAAAUUCUUGUUAGAU